rnacentral:rRNA from 1 species
GUGAGGAAUAUCGGUCAAUGGGCGCAAGCCUGAACCAGCCAUGCCGCGUGCAGGAAGACGGUCCUAUGGAUUGUAAACUGCUUUUAUUUGGGAAUAAACUCCGGUACGUGUACCGGCCUGAAGGUACCAAAUGAAUAAGCACCGGCUAACUCCGUGCCAGCAGCCGCGGUAAUACGGAGGGUGCAAGCGUUAUCCGGAAUCAUUGGGUUUAAAGGGUCCGCAGGCGGUCUUAUAAGUCAGUGGUGAAAGCCUACAGCUCAACUGUAGAACUGCCAUUGAUACUGUAGGACUUGAAUUCGAUCGAAGUGGGCGGAAUGUGACAUGUAGCGGUGAAAUGCUUAGAUAUGUCACAGAACACCGAUAGCGAAGGCAGCUCACUAGGUCUGGAUUGACGCUCAGGGACGAAAGCGUGGGGAGCAAACAGGAUUAGAUACCCCAGUAGUCC